rnacentral:rRNA from 1 species
ACUCCUACGGGAGGCAGCAGUGAGGAAUAUUGGUCAAUGGGCGCAAGCCUGAACCAGCCAUGCCGCGUGCAGGAAGACGGCCUUAUGGGUUGUAAACUGCUUUUACAUAAGACUAACCGUAUAUUUGCGAAUAUACCUGAAUGUAUUAUGAGAAUAAGGAUCGGCUAACUCCGUGCCAGCAGCCGCGGUAAUACGGAGGAUCCGAGCGUUAUCCGGAUUUAUUGGGUUUAAAGGGUGCGUAGGCUGACUGAUAAGUCAGCGGUGAAAAGCAUAGGCUUAACCUAUGUCUUGCCGUUGAUACUGUCAGACUAGAAUAUAAAUGGAGUAGGCGGAAUGAAUCAUGUAGAGGUGACAUUCAUAGAUAUGAUUUAGAACACCGUUCGCGAAGGCGGCUUACUAAGAUAUAAUUGACGCUGAUGCACGAAAGCGUGGGUAUCGAACAGGAUUAGAUACCCUGGUAGUC